UACGGAGGGUGCGAGCGUUUGUCCGGAAUCACUGGGCGUAAAGGGCGCGUAGGCGGCUCAUGAAGGCUGUGGUGAAAGUCCGGGGCUCAACCUCGGAUCGGCCGUGGCGACUCGUGGGCUGGAGCACUGUAGAGGCGGGUGGAAUUCCGGGUGUAGCGGUGGAAUGCGUAGAGAUCCGGAAGAACACCAGUGGCGAAGGCGGUGGUCUGGGCCGGCACUGACGCUGAGGAGCGAAAGCGUGGGUAGCAAACAGG
rnacentral:rRNA from 1 species